rnacentral:rRNA from 1 species
UGGCUCAGGACGAACGCUGGCGGCAUGCCUAAUACAUGCAAGUCGAACGAACCAUCCUGAAGAUUGAAGCUUGCUUCAUGAUUCAGACCUUGGUGAGUGGCGGACGGGUGAGUAACACGUGGGUAACCUGCCCAAAAGUGGGGGAUAACAUCUGGAAACAGGUGCUAAUACCGCAUAACAACUACUUUCUCAUGAUCGUAGCUUGAAAGAUGGCUCUGCUAUCGCUUUUGGAUGGACCCGCGGCGUAUUAGCUAGUUGGUGAGGUAAUAGCUCACCAAGGCAAUGAUACGUAGCCGACCUGAGAGGGUAAUCGGCCACAUUGGGACUGAGACACGGCCCAAACUCCUACGGGAGGCAGCAGUAGGGAAUCUUCCACAAUGGGCGAAAGCCUGAUGGAGCAAUGCCGCGUGAGUGAAGAAGGUUUUCGGAUCGUAAAACUCUGUUGUUGAAGAAGAACAUGCGUGAGAGUAACUGUUCACGUACUGACGGUAUUCAACCAGAAAGCCACGGCUAACUACGUGCCAGCAGCCGCGGUAAUACGUAGGUGGCAAGCGUUGUCCGGAUUUAUUGGGCGUAAAGAGAAUGUAGGCGGUUUAUUAAGUUUGAAGUGAAAGCCCUCGGCUCAACCGAGGAAGUGCUUCGAAAACUGGUAAACUUGAGUGCAGAAGAGGAAAGUGGAACUCCAUGUGUAGCGGUGGAAUGCGUAGAUAUAUGGAAGAACACCAGUGGCGAAGGCGGCUUUCUGGUCUGUAACUGACGCUGAGAUUCGAAAGCAUGGGUAGCAAACAGGAUUAGAUACCCUGGUAGUCCAUGCCGUAAACGAUGAGUGCUAAGUGUUGGAGGGUUUCCGCCCUUCAGUGCUGCAGCUAACGCAUUAAGCACUCCGCCUGGGGAGUACGAUCGCAAGAUUGAAACUCAAAGGAAUUGACGGGGGCCCGCACAAGCGGUGGAGCAUGUGGUUUAAUUCGAAGCAACGCGAAGAACCUUACCAGGUCUUGACAUACCAUGAAAAGCUAAGAGAUUAGUCUUUCCCUUCGGGGACAUGGAUACAGGUGGUGCAUGGUUGUCGUCAGCUCGUGUCGUGAGAUGUUGGGUUAAGUCCCGCAACGAGCGCAACCCUUAUUAUCAGUUGCCAGCAUUCAGUUGGGCACUCUGGUGAGACUGCCGGUGACAAACCGGAGGAAGGUGGGGACGACGUCAAAUCAUCAUGCCCCUUAUGACCUGGGCUACACACGUGCUACAAUGGUCGGUACAACGUGCUGCGAACUCGCGAGGGUAAGCAAAUCACUUAAAACCGAUCUCAGUUCGGAUUGUAGGCUGCAACUCGCCUACAUGAAGCUGGAAUCGCUAGUAAUCGCGGAUCAGCAUGCCGCGGUGAAUACGUUCCCGGGCCUUGUACACACCGCCCGUCACACCAUGAGAGUUUGUAACACCCAAAGUCGGUGGGGUAACCCUUCGGGGAACUAGCCGCCUAAGGUGGGACAAAUGAUUAGGGUGAAGUCGUA